rnacentral:misc_RNA from 1 species
UUUCCGUAGGUGUACCUGCGGAAGGAUCAUUCAUAAUAAGUGUUUUAUGGCACUUUUUUAAAACCAUAUCCACCUUGUGUGCAAUGUCAGGGUUGAUUUUUCUCUCGAGAGGAUCAGCCCCAAACAUCAACUAUAUCUCAACUCUUGUCUGAAAAAUAUUAUGAAUAAAACAAUUCAAAAUACAACUUUCAACAACGGAUCUCUUGGCUCUC